AAACCAACCGGGAUUGCCUCAGUAACGGCGAGUGAAGCGGCAAAAGCUCAAAUUUGAAAUCUCCGUAAGGCGAGUUGUAAUUUGAAGAGGGUACUUUGGGGCGGCGCCUUGUCUAUGUUCCUUGGAACAGGACGUCACAGAGGGUGAGAAUCCCGUGCGAUGAGGAGAGCCGUUCUAUGUAAAGUUCCUUCGACGAGUCGAGUUGUUUGGGAAUGCAGCUCUAAGUGGGUGGUAAAUUCCAUCUAAAGCUAAAUAUUGGCGAGAGACCGAUAGCGAACAAGUACAGUGAUGGAAAGAUGAAAAGCACUUUGAAAAGAGAGUGAAAAAGUACGUGAAAUUGUUGAAAGGGAAGGGCAUUUGAUCAGACAUGGUGUUUGGGCGCCCUGCGCUCCUUGUGGGUGCAGGACACGCUUUUCACUGGGCCAACAUCGGUUUUGGCAGCAGGAUAAAUCGUGAGGAACGUAGCUGCCCUCGGGUAGUGUUACAGCCUGGCGGAAUACUGCUAGCCGGGA
rnacentral:rRNA from 1 species